CGGUUGAUCCUGCCGGAGGUUACUGCUAUCAGGGUUUGAUUAAGCCAUGCAAGUUAUGUGUUUUUUGUAAACACGGCGAACUGCUCAGUAACACGCGGAUAAUCUGCCCUCAGGUUUGGGAUAACCCUGGGAAACUGGGGAUAAUACCAAAUGUUUCAAGGUUGCUGGAAUGCUCUUUGAUUGAAAGCUUCGGUGCCUGAGGAUGAGUCUGCGGCCUAUCAGGUUGUAGUGGGUGUAAUGUACCUACUAGCCAGCGACGGGUACGGGUUGUGAGAGCAAGAGCCCGGAGAUGGAUUCUGAGACAUGAAUCCAGGCCCUACGGGGUGCAGCAGGCGCGAAACCUUUACAAUGCGCGAAAGCGCGAUAAGGAGACCCUGAGUGCUAGCACAUAGUGCUGGCUGUCCAGCUGUCUAAAAAGCAGUUGUUAGCAAGGGCCGGGCAAGACCGGUGCCAGCCGCCGCGGUAACACCGGCGGCCCGAGUGGUAACCGAUUUUAUUGGGCUUAAAGCGUUCGUAGCCGGUUUAGUAAGUUUCUUAGGAAAUCUAGCAGCUUAACUGUUAGACGUCUAAGAGAUACUGCUAUGACUUGGGACCGGGAGAGGUAGGAGGUACUCCAGGGGUAGGGGUGAAAUCUUGUAAUCCCUGGGGGACCAUCGAUGGCGAAGGCAUCCUACCAGAACGGGUUCGACGGUGAGGGACGAAAGCUGGGGGCACAAACCGGAUUAGAUACCCGGGUAGUCCCAGCUGUAAACGAUGCUCGCUAGGUGUC
rnacentral:rRNA from 1 species